CUGCUCAGUGAGUUUACAUGUUAGAGGGAGUGGGGUAUAGUGACCGUAACAGAGGGAUUGAGGGCCGUGCUCAGUGAGUUUACAUGUUAGAGGGAGUGGGGUAUAGUGACACAGUAACAGAGGGAUUGAGGGCCUGCUCAGUGAGUUUACAUGCUAGAGGGAGUGGGGUAUAGUGACAGUAGCAGAGGGAUUGAGGGCCCUGCUCAGUGAGUUUACAUGUUAGAG